AACGAACGCUGGCGGCAGGCCUAACACAUGCAAGUCGAGCGAAGCCUUCGGGCUUAGCGGCGGACGGGUGAGUAACGCGUGGGAACGUGCCCUUUGCUACGGAAUAGCCCCGGGAAACUGGGAGUAAUACCGUAUGUGCCCUUCGGGGGAAAGAUUUAUCGGCAAAGGAUCGGCCCGCGUUGGAUUAGGUAGUUGGUGGGGUAAUGGCCUACCAAGCCGACGAUCCAUAGCUGGUUUGAGAGGAUGAUCAGCCACGCUGGGACUGAGACACGGCCCAGACUCCUACGGGAGGCAGCAGUGGGGAAUCUUAGACAAUGGGGGAAACCCUGAUCUAGCCAUGCCGCGUGAUCGAUGAAGGCCUUAGGGUUGUAAAGAUCUUUCAGUGGGGAAGAUAAUGACUGUACCCACAGAAGAAGCCCCGGCUAACUCCGUGCCAGCCGCCGCAGUAAAAC
rnacentral:rRNA from 1 species